rnacentral:lncRNA from 1 species
UAUAAGAAAAUUUUAAAUUUUAAAUUUGUUUUCUAAAGCCAAUAAUCCUAAAAGAUUCACUUCACAAUAUUUUUUUACAAACAAUGGAAAAAUGUUGGACUCUAUUUUUUUGACAAAUAAAAAAAAUACAUUCCAACCUAAACUUUAGAUUGAGCAAAUGACAUGUUAAAAUAGGUUAUAAACUCUAACUUUAUCUCAAAUUUUUAAUUGAAGAUUGUGAGUUCCUAUCGUUAAAAAACAUAAAGGGAGAAGUAUUAUGCUCUCUCUCUUCACUUUGGAUCGUCGUCCACUUUUUCUUCUUCACAUUCAACCUCCAAAAAUCCAAACUACCCCUCCUCCAUCAUGUAGUAUCACGUUGGUGGUGAGCGGGCUCCUAGCGACUUCACCACCCUUUAACCCUAUGGGAUGGUCGGUCAUUUUCUGGUUCGUGGUGGACGUUUAAAGUUUUGUAGCGGUUUAUUCUCUGAUCUGUUGUGUUCUACAAGUUCAAGCCUAUGUGAUUUUGCAUCCACCGGGAGAUUUUGAGAUGGUUUGUUCUGCCUCAAUCCUUCUUGAUUGACUAGAAAUGAUCUUAAUUUUACUGUUAUUCUAGUGAAUUAUUGGUAUAUGAUUUUGUUACCGUGUUGGUGGUCGAUUUCAUUAUCCAUCUUCACAUACCUGAGUCUUAAGCCAUACAGUAUACUUCACAAUAUACUUCACUGGAUUGUGCAAAUGAUGCAAGAUUGUUUGUUUAAAAUUAGGAUUCUUAUUUACUUCACCUUUUAAUAGUUACUAUAUAUCAUCCUUUUUUAUAUUUGUAUUUUCUGUUGCAUUGGAUUUUGGUUAAUGUCCCCCCCUAGUAUUUGUACUUCUCUUUUUACUUUAAUAUAUAAAAAAUUAAUUUUUAAUUAGACUAA